UACAGAGGCCUCGAGCGUUAGGCGGAAUCACUGGGCUUAAAGCGUGUGUAGGCGGACUUCUAAGUACCUUGUGAAAUCCCACGGCUCACCCGUGGAACUGCUCGGUAUACUGGUCGUCUUGAGCCUUCUAGGGGCGAGUGGAACAAAUGGUGGAGCGGUGAAAUGCGUAGAUAUCAUUUGGAACGCCAAAGGUGAAAACAAUCUGCUGGGGAUCUGCUGACGCUGAGACACGAAAGCCAGGGGAGCGAACGGG
rnacentral:rRNA from 1 species